GAUGAACGCUGGCGGCGUGCUUAACACAUGCAAGUCGAACGAAGAUGCCGGAGUGCUUGCACUUUGGCAGACUGAGUGGCGGACGGGUGAGUAACGCGUGGGUAACCUGCCUUAUGGAGGGGGAUAACUACGGGAAACUGUAGCUAAUACCGCGUAAUAUCGAAAGAUUAAAGUGUGGGACCUUCGGGCCACAUGCCAUAGGAUGAGCCCAAGUGGGAUUAGGUAGUUGGUGAGGUAAAGGCUCACCAAGCCGACGAUCUCUAGCUGGUCUGAGAGGAUGACCAGCCACACUGGGACUGAGACACGGCCCAGACUCCUACGGGAGGCAGCAGUGGGGAAUAUUGCGCAAUGGGGGCAACCCUGACGCAGCCAUGCCGCGUGAAUGAAGAAGGCCUUCGGGUUGUAAAGUUACUUUCGGUUAGCGAGGAAGGCGAUUAGUUAAUAGACUAGAUGAUUGACGUUAACUACAGAAGAAGACACCGGCU
rnacentral:rRNA from 1 species